rnacentral:lncRNA from 1 species
UAAUACAAGCUUUAUAUUACAAGCCAGGGGCCUCGAGGGCUCGAAUACAUAAGCUCGAAUACACAAGAGUCAGUGGAAGCAACAAUAUCUGAGUAUAGACAUAAGUUAGACAAGUUUGCCUUAAGAAGGAUAGCACAAAAGUAACAACGAUCGAAAAGGCAAGGCCUCCUGCCUGGGAGCCUCCUAACUACUCCUAGUCGUCUGCGGUCUUCACGUAGUAGUAGGCAUACUCCGGGUAGUAGUAGUCAUCAGUGGCAUCGUCUGGCUCCUGAGAUCAAUCAUCUGGUCGCGACAAUCGGGUAUGGGGGAAAAAGAAGUAGCAAAGCAACCGUGAGUACUCAUCGAAAGUACUCGCAAGACUUACAUCAGAACUAACUAAGUAUGCAUCUGUAUCAAAGGAAAUGGGCUGCAUCUGUGGGCUAAACUGCAGAAUGCCGGAAGAGAAGGGAAAAGCCUAGCCUAUUGAAGACUAGCAUCUUGCAGCAUAUAGAAGAGUACAGAUCAACAUAAUGUAAAGUAGGUAGUGUUAUCAACCUCGACCAGAGAUCCUUUCUCGACUCCAUGCGAGAAAGCAAUCCCAGAGUCAUACUAUCCAUUUCUCAUCACAAUCAAUUCCUCAUCACCAUCCAUUUCUCAUAUCCAUUUCUCAUCACAAGUAUCUAGUUCUAGUUGUAUCGAUCGGGAUACAACUCCAAGUGUCCGUUACCGUAGGACAGGCUAUCGAUAUAUGUUUUCUUCCCUGCAGGGGUGCACCAGUUUACCCACCACGCUCGAUUAACUCCGGCCGGACACACUUUCCUAGGUCAUGCCCGACCUCGGCCAAACAAUACGCCGCAACCCGACCUAGGAUUAAUAGAGAGGCCAGCACGCCGGACUAAACCUAUGCCCCCAGGGGUCAUGGGCCAUCUCUCCGAAAACUCCUGCAUGUUGUGUACGCGACUGGUGAGCAGGCCUAGCUACCUCCUUCAACAAGGCAGGAGCUUAUGCAGUCCAACCCAGCGCGCGCCGCUCAGUCGCUGACGUCUAUUAAGCUUCCGCUGAUGUAUACGACGCAGAACGCCCAUACUAUGCCCACGUGAUGGUUAGUGCUAUCAGGCCAGAGGCCCCUCGGAUCAAAUAUCGAAAUCGUAGUGGAUUAGGAGCACGCGGUAACAAGCAGAGACUCACGAAAGAUGUGACCCCGUUGCCCCGUCUCGAGGACUUGCGGCAAGGGCUAGGAAUGCCCGGCCACGCCUCGUAAUUAUCUCGCGGGCACCCUCCAGGUCAACCCGACUCCACAUUACUCGCAAUUAAGCUCGCGCGGGCACCCCUCAGGGCCAACCCGUCUUUAGUAACAUGAUUCAGUGUAAAGUCAUAGUAACCAUAGUAACUGUGUGUCCAAACAUCAAGGGGAAAACCCGAGGAAUCACCCCCGGCGAAUUCCACUCGAUGUAAUCAUCAAGGUGAACGUAAGAGGGACCACCCUCGAGGUUCACACUUGAGGGGUUGCACGACAGAGUCGUAUCGGAAGUGGUUAAGGAGGAAAUCACCCUGGAUGACCACGAUCGAAUAGCUACACUACAGGGUUAACAUCAGAAGUGGUGAAGAGGUCUCACCCUCGGCACUCGAUAAUAACCGGGUAGUGUCGAGCAACUAAGGGGGAAAGUGAUGUGUGGUGUCGGGGCCUGGUCUUCGAUCCCGUUGAUUGGGUCUUCGAUGAUGAAGCAGGGGCAACAAGGACAAGGUGGGGGUCACUGAUGGAUCACUAACCAACCUAUACUAAGCAGUUUAGGAUAACCAGGUAAGGUAUAAAAGCAGGUUACAACAACAGGCUAUGCAUCAGAGUAGGAUCAUACAAAAAGCAGUAGCAGUUCUAAUGCAAGCAUGAGAGGGAAAGAAAUGGGCGAUAUCGAAAUGCUCAAGGGGGGUUUGCUUGCCUGGUUGCUCUGGCGAGGAGGGGGGUCGUCGUCGACGUAGUCGAUCACAAGGGC